rnacentral:rRNA from 1 species
AGAGUUUGAUCCUGGCCCAGAUUGAACGCUGGCGGCAUGCCUUACACAUGCAAGUCGAACGGCAGCACGAGAGCUUGCUCUUGGUGGCGAGUGGCGAACGGGUGAGUAAUAUAUCGGAACGUACCCUAGAGUGGGGGAUAACGUAGCGAAAGUUACGCUAAUACCGCAUACGAUCUACGGAUGAAAGUGGGGGAUCGCAAGACCUCAUGCUCAUGGAGCGGCCGAUAUCUGAUUAGCUAGUUGGUGGGGUAAAAGCUCACCAAGGCGACGAUCAGUAGCUGGUCUGAGAGGACGACCAGCCACACUGGAACUGAGACACGGUCCAGACUCCUACGGGAGGCAGCAGUGGGGAAUUUUGGACAAUGGGCGCAAGCCUGAUCCAGCAAUGCCGCGUGAGUGAAGAAGGCCUUCGGGUUGUAAAGCUCUUUUGUCAGGGAAGAAACGGUGGACUCUAAUACAGAUCACUAAUGACGGUACCUGAAGAAUAAGCACCGGCUAACUACGUGCCAGCAGCCGCGGUAAUACGUAGGGUGCAAGCGUUAAUCGGAAUUACUGGGCGUAAAGCGUGCGCAGGCGGUUGUGCAAGACAGAUGUGAAAUCCCCGGGCUCAACCUGGGAAUUGCAUUUGUGACUGCACGGCUAGAGUGUGUCAGAGGGGGGUAGAAUUCCACGUGUAGCAGUGAAAUGCGUAGAGAUGUGGAGGAAUACUGAUGGCGAAGGCAGCCCCCUGGGAUAACACUGACGCUCAUGCACGAAAGCGUGGGGAGCAAACAGGAUUAGAUACCCUGGUAGUCCACGCCCUAAACGAUGUCUACUAGUUGUCGGGUCUUAAUUGACUUGGUAACGCAGCUAACGCGUGAAGUAGACCGCCUGGGGAGUACGGUCGCAAGAUUAAAACUCAAAGGAAUUGACGGGGACCCGCACAAGCGGUGGAUGAUGUGGAUUAAUUCGAUGCAACGCGAAAAACCUUACCUACCCUUGACAUGUCUGGAAUCCUUGAGAGAUCAGGGAGUGCUCGAAAAAGAAUCAGAACACAGGUGCUGCAUGGCUGUCGUCAGCUCGUGUCGUGAGAUGUUGGGUUAAGUCCCGCAACGAGCGCAACCCUUGUCAUUAGUUGCUACGAAAGGGCACUCUAAUGAGACUGCCGGUGACAAACCGGAGGAAGGUGGGGAUGACGUCAAGUCCUCAUGGCCCUUAUGGGUAGGGCUUCACACGUCAUACAAUGGUACAUACAGAGGGCCGCCAACCCGCGAGGGGGAGCUAAUCCCAGAAAGUGUAUCGUAGUCCGGAUUGUAGUCUGCAACUCGACUACAUGAAGUUGGAAUCGCUAGUAAUCGCGGAUCAGCAUGUCGCGGUGAAUACGUUCCCGGGUCUUGUACACACCGCCCGUCACACCAUGGGAGCGGGUUUCACCAGAAGUGGGUAGCCUAACCGCAAGGAGGGCGCUCACCACGGUGGGAUUCGUGACUGGGGUGAAGUCGUAACAAGGUA